rnacentral:rRNA from 1 species
UAAUACAUCGGAACGUGUCUUCUAGUGGGGGAUAACUGCCCGAAAGGGCAGCUAAUACCGCAUGAGACCUGAGGGUGAAAGCGGGGGAUCGCAAGACCUCGCGCUGGAAGAGCGGCCGAUGUCCGAUUAGCUAGUUGGUGAGGCAAAGGCUCACCAAGGCGACGAUCGGUAGCUGGUCUGAGAGGACGACCAGCCACACUGGGACUGAGACACGGCCCAG